GACAGACAGACAGGUGACAGACAGACAGGUAGCAGACAGACAGACAGGUGACAGACAGACAGACAGGUAGCAGACAGACAGACAGGUAGCAGACAGACAGACAGACAGACAGGUAGAGAGACAGACAGGUGACAGACAGACAGACAGG